rnacentral:rRNA from 1 species
GAUGAACGCUAGCGGCAGGCCUAACACAUGCAAGUCGAGGGGUAACAGAAGAAAGCUUGCUUUCUUGCUGACGACCGGCGAACGGGUGCGUAACACGUAUACAACUUACCCUUAACUGGAGGAUAGCCCCGAGAAAUCGGGAUUAAUACUCCAUAAUAUUACUUGAUGGCAUCUGAUAGUAAUUAAAGCUCCGGCGGUUAAGGAUGGGUAUGCGUCUGAUUAGUUAGUUGGUGAGGUAACGGCUCACCAAGACAACGAUCAGUAGGGGGUCUGAGAGGAUGAUCCCCCACACUGGUACUGAGACACGGACCAGACUCCUACGGGAGGCAGCAGUGAGGAAUAUUGGUCAAUGGACGAAAGUCUGAACCAGCCAUGCCGCGUGCAGGAAGAAUGCCCUACGGGUUGUAAACUGCUUUUAUAUAGGAAGAAACCUCUCUACGUGUAGAGGGCUGACGGUACUAUACGAAUAAGGACCGGCUAACUCCG